rnacentral:tRNA from 1 species
UUAAUUGAAGCCAAAAUAGAGGCUUAUCACUGUUAAUGAUACAAAUGAAUUUUUAAUUCCAAUUAAA